AACGCGAAGAACCUUACCUACCCUUGACAUGUGGAAUGCAAGAGAUUUGGCGGUGCAAGAAAACCGAGAACACAGUGUGCUGCGUGGCGUGCCGUGGUGAGAUGUUGGGUUAACCGCCACGAGCGCCACCCUUGAUUAGUUGCUACCAAAGGGCACUAAUGAGACUGCCACGUGACAAACAGGAGGAAGGUGGGGAUGACGAGACCAUGGCCCUUAUGGGUAGGGCUGCCCCAUACAAUGGUGGACAGAGGGGCCCACCCGCGAGGGGGAGCCAACCAUAAACCCGACUAUCAGAGCAUUGCUACGACUGCAUGAAGAGAAGAUACUAAAGAAGAAUGACUGCGAAUACGUACGGGCUGGACACGCCCAACGACCGAGCCCGCACUGCAAAUGCCUGCGUGCGAACUUCCUAUAGCGAGUUAUUAGAACUUGACCUUGAUGGAUAGCUGUUCUG
rnacentral:rRNA from 1 species